rnacentral:rRNA from 1 species
UGGGGAAUAUUGCACAAUGGGCGAGAGCCUGAACCAGCCAAGUCGCGUGAGGGAAGACGGUCCUACGGAUUGUAAACCUCUUUUGUCGGGGAGCAAUAAAGCGUACGCGUACGCAGAUGCGAGUACCCGAAGAAAAAGCAUCGGCUAACUCCGUGCCAGCAGCCGCGGUAAUACGGAGGAUGCGAGCGUUAUCCGGAUUUAUUGGGUUUAAAGGGUGCGCAGGCGGAAAGUGCAAGUCAGCGGUCAAACGACGGGGCUCAACCCCGUCCUCGCCGUUGAAACUGUCAUUUCUAGAGUGAGCGAGAAGUAUGCGGAAUGCGUGGUGUAGCGGUGAAAUGCAUAGAUAUCACGCAGAACUCCGAUUGCGAAGGCAGCAUACCGGCGCUCAACUGACGCUGAAGCACGAAAGCGUGGGUAUCGAACAGGAUUAGAUACC